rnacentral:rRNA from 1 species
UGGCGGCGUGCCUAAUACAUGCAAGUCGAGCGAUGGAUUAAGAGCUUGCUCUUAUGAAGUUAGCGGCGGACGGGUGAGUAACACGUGGGUAACCUGCCCAUAAGACUGGGAUAACUCCGGGAAACCGGGGCUAAUACCGGAUAAUAUUUUGAACUGCAUGGUUCGAAAUUGAAAGGCGGCUUCGGCUGUCACUUAUGGAUGGACCCGCGUCGCAUUAGCUAGUUGGUGAGGUAACGGCUCACCAAGGCAACGAUGCGUAGCCGACCUGAGAGGGUGAUCGGCCACACUGGGACUGAGACACGGCCCAGACUCCUACGGGAGGCAGCAGUAGGGAAUCUUCCGCAAUGGACGAAAGUCUGACGGAGCAACGCCGCGUGAGUGAUGAAGGCUUUCGGGUCGUAAAACUCUGUUGUUAGGGAAGAACAAGUGCUAGUUGAAUAAGCUGGCACCUUGACGGUACCUAACCAGAAAGCCACGGCUAACUAC